UACGUAGGGCGCAAGCGUUGUCCGGAAUUAUUGGGCGUAAAGAGCUCGUAGGCGGUCUGUCACGUCUGCCGUGAAAACCCGGGGCUCAACUCCGGGCUUGCACUCGAUACGGGCGGACUAGAGUUCGGUAGGGGAGACUGGAAUUCCUGGUGUAGCGGUGAAAUGCGCAGAUAUCAGGAGGAACACCGGUGGCGAAGGCGGGUCUCUGGGCCGAUACUGACGCUGAGGAGCGAAAGCGUGGGGAGCGAACAGG
rnacentral:rRNA from 1 species